UGAAACCACCUCAAUGCAAAAAAUACAGUUCCAAUUAAGGCUGCUACCCAAGUUACCUUUUGACAUUUGCAGAUGAAAUUUAAGAGAUUCCUAUCCCUGCUACAUCUGUGUUCUUCUUAAAACACCUACAUGUGGGUACUUGCCUUCAAAUGGGGGUCUGAUCUCUCAGUACAGGAACCUACUCAGUUGCCCAAGCCCAGGUUGAAGUUUUGUAAACAGAUGGAGAGCGACACUAAGGCUAUAGAAGGAUGACGUCUAAGACCGCAGCCUGCUGGUGUGGGAUCUGAGCAUGUUUAGACUUCCUGACAGACAUCAGAUCAGGAACUUGUGAAUGAAAUCCUUGUUCUGCUGAAAGAAGAUUUCAGGAGGAUUGUGAUUUUUUCCUAUUUCCAGUCUUAUGCUAUGGUAGGGAACAGCAUCUCCAACUGUACAAUAUGAAGGAUCACAAAAUUAAAUGCAGUUAUUGCUGCAAGAGUCAGGAACUAGAUUUGAGGAUCAGGCAGAGAAAUUAUUUUCAUCACUGACUGCUGUGAGAAUGGAGUCAUAUUAUUAUUUUAAAUCAGCUCUUGCUAACUACAAUUUAUUUAUUUAUUUAUCUAUUUAUUUUUGAAUUCUUCAAUACCAUGAAGAUUUGGAUAUAGAAGAUUAAAAACACAUGCAAUAUCUCUUGCUUCAGAAACUCUGAAGUGGAAACCAUAUUCUUUUUUCAAAAUAAAGUAUUUAUUCCUCAGAAAAAUGUUGCCAUUGCUGAAAUGAAAGUAAUUUUCUUCUGUAGGCUAUUUAAAAAUAAAAAAAAAUAAAAAAAAAAGAAAGCAAAUCUAUCUUUCAUGCUUUCUGUAGAAAGACAAUCACAAGGCCAACAGAAAAUAGAAGCAAUUUGAAUAUAUAAGCAAUUUGGAGAUGCUUGCUUAAUCUCAGUAAUUACCUAUACAGAAAAGACAGCACUGGUUGAAGAGGGUUAUAGAUGCUUUUGCAUUUAAAACUGUAAAGACUUUUCUCAGAUGUGCUAAACAGGUUAUAAAUGCUAUAUCUGUUCAUCUGUCAAAAUUGUACCAAGA